AACCUGCCCCAUAGUCUGGGAUACCACUUGGAAACAGGUGCUAAUACCGGAUAAGAAAGCAGAUCGCAUGAUCAGCUUUUAAAAGGCGGCGUAAGCUGUCGCUAUGGGAUGGCCCCGCGGUGCAUUAGUUAGUUGGUAAGGUAAAGGCUUACCAAGGCGAUGAUGCAUAGCCGAGUUGAGAGACUGAUCUGCCACAUUGGGACUGAGAUACGGCCCAGACUCCUACGGGAGGCAGCAGUC
rnacentral:rRNA from 1 species